rnacentral:rRNA from 1 species
UACGGGGGGAGCAAGCGUUGUUCGGAUUUACUGGGCGUAAAGGGCGCGUAGGCGGCGCAACAAGUCACUUGUGAAAUCUCCGGGCUUAACCCGGAGCGGCCAAGUGAUACUGUCGUGCUAGAGUGCGGAAGGGGCUACUGGAAUCCUCGGUGUAGCGGUGAAAUGCGUAGAUAUCGAGAGGAACACCUGCGGCGAAGGCGGGUAGCUGGGCCGACACUGACGCUGAGGCGCGAAAGCCAGGGGAGCGAACGGG